CCUUUGACGUUAGCGGCGGACGGGUGAGUAACACGUGGGUAACCUACCUAUAAGACUGGGAUAACUUCGGGAAACCGGAGCUAAUACCGGAUAAUAUUUCGAACCGCAUGGUUCGAUAGUGAAAGAUGGUUUUGCUAUCACUUAUAGAUGGACCCGCGCCGUAUUAGCUAGUUGGUAAGGUAACGGCUUACCAAGGCGACGAUACGUAGCCGACCUGAGAGGGUGAUCGGCCACACUGGAACUGAGACACGGUCCAGACUCCUACGGGAGGCAGCAGNU
rnacentral:rRNA from 1 species